UAGUACAUAGACCAGUUUUCUCCUAGACUGAAAGAUCUUGAGGCUGACUGGCUCCAUAUUAGCUAUUUCCCCCAGGUGACUGUCUAAGCCAGGACUUCUCCAACUUUGCACCACUGACACUUUUGACAAGGUCGUUCUUUGGAGUCCAGUUCUGGAGAUGGGUUUUAAACUGUGGGGUAUUCAGCCACAACCCUGACCUCUUCAAGCUAGAUACCGUAUCACCCAGCUCUACUGAACUGUGAGAGUAGAACUGUCUCUUGCAUUCUCAGACACCCCCACUGGGGCGGAGUCUUAUUCCUGGUAAUAAAUAAACAAACAAAGCAAGCUUGGUGGUGCUGGUGGUGGCGGUGCACACCUUUAGUCCCAGCACUCUGGAGGCAAUUCCACCAACUUGGGACCAAAUGGUCAGAUAUAUGAGUCUAUGGGGGUCACUCUCAUUCACAUAACCACACUGCCACAUACCUUUGUUUUUCUAAACAAAGCAAAGAGACCGUGAUCGGACUGAUACAGACAGAAGAGGAACGGAGCCCUUGGCAUGAGAAAACAUCUCAGAGCAGACAAGACGAUAGUGAAAGGCCUGUCUACUCAACCCAAUCUGAACCUUGCACCAGUAUCAGGGAUGAAUGACCCCUACUGGGCUUCUUCUAUACGAGCCAACAAAGUGGAAUGAAGCGCUACUUAGUACCCUUCCUACUUUUCCCAAAAAUAAAAAAAAAAAAUGCUUCUGCCUAGAAUAAAGUAUAUACAUGUAUUUGAUUUCCAAUUCCACUGCACCAUUGUAGAGAUUCGUCUGAGUGAGCCAUAUCCUCCUGUUGAUCAGAUUACAUCCAUAAAAGGAAACAGUGAAAAGAAAUUUAGACACAUCCUACCCAAAUUUCUCAUUCUACAGAGGAAACUAAGUCCCAGAAAGAAGUGAUGUCUAAAAUCCUUUCAUUGCUGAGAAGCUACUCCAGGGCCAGAAGCCACAUCUUUUUAACUGUCUUGCCCUCUCCCAUGUUCCUUUACAUCUUCACAUGGUAUUGGAUCCCAUACUCUACAGACUCCAUAGAGUGGUGGAGGAAUUGACCUAGUUUCCCAGAAGUUACUAUUAGAGAACUCAGAUCUUUACUGAGUACUGGCACCAAGGUGAGGCUAAGCUUUGAAUUCUUCCUGAAGUAGCUGCAACCCAGGGAGGUCCUGGGACGAGCAACACCACA
rnacentral:lncRNA from 1 species